AUCUCCAACAUCGCCCCGCUCCGAAUAAGGACGCACGAUCGCCAACGAAUGAAGUCCACCUUCUGUAUGUCUCCAAGAUCGGAUUUCCGACCAAGCUCGGAUCCCCCAGUUAAAGGAUUAACGUCAUGCUACAUCAACUAUCGAGCUCGGCUCGAUCUCCAUCGACUAAUCGAGCUCGGCUCGAUCUCCAUCGACUAUCGAGCUCGGCUCGAUCUCCAUCGACUAAUCGAGCUCGGCUCGAUCUCCAUCGCCUAAUCGAGCUCGGCUCGAUCUCCAUCGCCUAAUCGAGCUCGGCUCGAUCUCCAUCGCCUAAUCGAGCUCGGCUCGAUCUCCAUCGACUAAUCGAGCUCGGCUCGAUCUCCAUCGACUAUCGAGCUUGGCUCGAUUUCGGCUUGAUCGCCAACAGACAAGGCCAAAGAAGGCCGCUGAGUCAACCUGGAGCACUUUAACUCCAACUGCAUGAAA
rnacentral:lncRNA from 1 species